GAUGUUCCAUUGCAGCGAAAAACUGAAAAGAAAAAGAAGACGAAACAAUCAGAUCGUGCCUCCGUGACUAAGAAGGGUGAAAAGAAACAUGAAGGUGUAAGAAGUGAUCUGCUCUCAACUGCUGAGGAGCUUGCUGGAAUGAUGGAUGAGAAUAUUGGCGCCAAAUUUGAUAACAUCGGAGUGAAUGCCAUGGCAAACAAAGAUAAAGCAGCCGAAAAGCAACUCAAGUGGGAAAUGGAACGAGAUCUUUGGGUCAGAGGUGUGGAUUACAAGACGAAACGAAAAAGAGGAUUUAAGUCGAAAGGAAAAUUUGGAAAUCAAUCCCAGAAUAAGAAGAAAUUUAAACGGAAAUAAUUAUGUCAAUGAUUUUUUUGUGAAUAAAUUAUAAGUUGAUAUUUUAAUUUAUCACAAUAA